rnacentral:lncRNA from 1 species
CAUCCCUUCACAUCUCCAUUGCUGCUGUAACAAAGGUCCCCACCUGAUCACCCUGGGGGCUAUGUUUGGCUUGUAGGCCUGCCAGGAUGGAAGGGCAUGCUGAAAUGGAGAUGCUGAGGACACUGAAGGGGCCUUCCACAGGGGAGGUCAGCAUGCACUUGGUGGCCGGAGACAGCCCUGGUUCUGGUCCUCACCUGCCCGCAACUGCCUUCAUCAUUCCAGCCAGUUCGGCCACCCUCGGCCUGCCCAGCAGUGCCCUGGAUGUGUCUUGCUUUCCCCGGGAGCCAAUCCAUGUGGGUGCCCCGGAGCAAGUGGCCGGCUGCGAACCAGUUUCUGCCACCGUCCUGCCGCAGCUUAGCGCCG